rnacentral:misc_RNA from 1 species
GAUCAUUACUGUGAUUUACUACUACACUGCGUGAGCGGAACGAAAACAACAACACCUAAAAUGUGGAAUAUAGCAUAUAGUCGACAAGAGAAAUCUACGAAAAAACAAACAAAACUUUCAACAACGGAUCUCUUGGUUCUCGCAUCGAUGAAGAGCGCAGCGAAAUGCGAUACCUAGUGUGAAUUGCAGCCAUCGUGAAUCAUCGAGUUCUUGAACGCACAUUGCGCCCCUCGGCAUUCCGGGGGGCAUGCCUGUUUGAGCGUCGUUUCCAUCUUGCGCGUGCGCAGAGUUGGGGGAGCGGAGCGGACGACGUGUAAAGAGCGUCGGAGCUGCGACUCGCCUGAAAGGGAGCGAAGCUGGCCGAGCGAACUAGACUUUUUUUCAGGGACGCUUGGCGGCCGAGAGCGAGUGUUGCGAGACAACAAAAAGCUCGACCUCAAAUCAGGUAGGA